CCUACGGGAGGCAGCAGUGGGGAAUAUUGGACAAUGGGGGGAACCCUGAUCCAGCCAUGCCGCGUGUGUGAAGAAGGCCCUCGGGUUGUAAAGCACUUUCAGUGAGGAAGAACGCCUGGUGGUUAAUACCCAUCAGGAAAGACAUCACUCACAGAAGAAGCACCGGCUAACUCCGUGCCAGCAGCCGCGGUAAUACGGAGGGGUGCGAGCGUUAAUCGGAAUUACUGGGCGUAAAGCGCGCGUAGGUGGCUUGAUAAGCCGGUUGUGAAAGCCCCGGGCUCAACCUGGGAACGGCAUCCGGAACUGUCAAGCUAGAGUGCAGGAGAGGAAGGUAGAAUUCCCGGUGUAGCGGUGAAAUGCGUAGAGAUCGGGAGGAAUACCAGUGGCGAAGGCGGCCUUCUGGACUGACACUGACACUGAGGUGCGAAGCGUGGGUAGCAAACAGGAUUAGAUACCCUUGUAGUC
rnacentral:rRNA from 1 species